rnacentral:lncRNA from 1 species
UGUGUGUGUGUGUGUGUGUGUGUGUGAGAUCCACGUAUGUGUACAUGUGGGGACCUGAAGUCCCCAAAAGGUAGUUAAACCUGAAAAAUCAGUCCCUACAUUUGUUUGGCAGUUGGUAGGUUUAGAGGAAUACUAACUAUUGGGCAUAUUGUUAGCACUGGGGUUACUUUUAAGCUUAGGACUUAUUGGUUAGGUUUAGGCUAAGGAUAUGGUUUAUUGUUAGGUAAUAGGUAACAUGGGAUUUUUUUGGUCUGGGUUAGGCAUCAAGUCCUCACAUGGAUGGAAAGUGUGUGUGUGUGUGUGUGUGUGACUCAGCCAAGCCAGCUGCAGGUGAGUUCAGUCUGAGGGCUCAUUUUUGUGCAGGUGCUCCAUUGUUCUGUCUUUGUGGCUCUUUUCAUCCUCACCACUCUCCAAAACACAACACUACCUAACUAUGCAGGGUGGGACUGAGUCAGACCUGUCAAGAUGCAGCAAAAUUCCCAUCAAAAGAAACUAAAGGUUCCUUUGUCCUGGAAAAGAAGAGCGGGCCUACCAAGUUUUGAGGUCUUGGCUAACGAUCAGGGGGACGGUCGAGAGCCAUUCCAUGCAACACUCAGUCUCCGAUUCUCUAAUGACUUCUUAGAUGAUGUAAAGGCUGCGAUACUGUCUUGUUUUCCAACCCGCCUUAAAAAACAAGAAAUGGGAUCCAUGCCGACACUACUCACGGCAACCACAGCACAGGUAACUGUUGGAGAAGAGAGAAGAAUGAAACAUCAGCUCCGAGAGGGUAGUUCCAGGGAGAGAGGGAGUCACAAGCACUUGGCCACCGCUACACCCUCAGUAAAUGUGAAAUUGCAACUUGUUAGUGGGUCAUUGUUUCCGAAAUAAG